rnacentral:rRNA from 1 species
CAUCGCCGCGGGAAUACGAGGGGGGCAAGCGUUGUUCGGAAUUAUUGGGCGUAAAGGGUGCGUAGGCGGCUUGACAAGUCUUGUGUGAAAUCUAUGGGCUCAACCCAUAGUCUGCACGGGAAACUGUCGGGCUUGAGAAUGGGAGAGGUGAGUGGAAUUUCCGGUGUAGCGGUGAAAUGCGUAGAUAUCGGAAGGAACACCUGUGGCGAGAGCGGCUCACUGGACCAUUUCUGACGCUGAUGCACGAAAGCUAGGGGAGCAAACAGGAUUAGAUACCCCCGUAGUCCCUGUCUCUUAUACA